UUUUUUUCUUUAUUUUACAGCUUAACCCUCCCAAUGAGGGUCCUAUAAAAACCAUCCGAUGACGAAGAUCUUAACUAGAGGAUAGAAAAGUGAUGAUGCAUUUGAUGGUUGCAUCUUGUACAUGUUUCUGCAAAAGAAUCGAAAGAAGGAGAGAAAGAGAGAAACCAUGAGAUUAAAGGAAAGGAACGAUUUUAGUGUCGGGCACUGAGAAUAGUUUGGGGUGACCUGGAACCGUCGGGCACUCAGCGGCAAGGCGGGGGACUAAGGAAACCCUUGAAAUCAAUAGCCGGCCGCUACUGCCGCCGCCACCCUGAUCAGGCUCCGUUCUGCGCUGCACAUUCGUCCCCUCGCAUCAUCCACCUCCCUCUUUUUACAGCUUUUCUCUCUCUCUCUCUCUCUCUCUCUCCUUCCUCUGAUUUUGAUUUAUCUGCACGUCGUAGCCGAAGAAAUCAGGAGCCUCACUUCAGUUUGCGCUCGAACGUUUCGCUAGUACGGACACACGUCAUUCGUUGACUUUUUUAGCGGUGUUCCAUGUGACGGUGAAGAAGUAGGAGACUAGGGUGGGACGAUCAUGAAUCAGCCAAAAAUAAAUCAAACUUCUCUUUC